GUCGUAAAAGCCUGCUUUCUUGCCGUGAUGGCCGCCGCCGAGGCAGGGAGUUGAGGGUUUCUGCCUUUCGGAGGGUUUGGGGGGCUGUCGGUCCCGUUAGAAGGCCACCAACAGCCCCCCAGGUUGCCAAGGGCCUGUUAGUUGUGUUCCUGGAAGGUGGGCAAGCAGCCUGAUGGGUUAACAUUGGGAUUUGCCGUCGUUAUAGCGGUCAAGGGGCCUGUAGCGGCUGCAGGGUCGGUGAGGGUUCCCAGCCGGCCGGACCUUGGUCGUCUGGCAUUCUGCCUUUGAAAUAUCUGGGUGGCCGGCGCCUAGGCAUAUGGGGUUGUGCUUUCUGUGUUGUGGUUUGUAGCUUGCAUCCUCCACUGUUCUUAGCGCAUUUGGCUCUGUCCAUAUGGCUGUUGGUACUCAUGGCCCUAUUUGGGGUUGGACUGGGCUCUUUUUCUUGGGUCUGGUGGGAUUUAAGCAAGAACUGGAAUUUUGUAAGAUGUACAGCAGUGUCCUGGGUGUUGUCUGUCUGGUGUGGGGUGUGAGCAGUUGCAGGAGUUAUGAACGUGUCCAUGAUCGUGUGGUUGGCUUUCCCUUGCAUGUGGUGAACUUUCCCCUCGUUUGCUAAUGCUGAAAGGCAGUGUCAGGCAGUUCCUACUUGUGAAAUGCCUUCUUAUUAACUUGGAUGUGUUCCUAAAUCUUGGGAGCUUUGCAAUUGCUUGUAGAAAGAUAUGUGUGCAAAACUGAAUUUAAAACGAGCACCAGGGUUGCAGGUACCUUUAGUUCUAGGGAGCCAGCUCCCCCAGGCUUCCCUGGUGCUGUGAAGUUGUUUGAGUUUAUUUAUGGAAAUUAGGUUUGCUUUGAGCUGUGUUACCUUACUCUUGGCUCAGAGUUUCUCUGCAUGUUGGGACCCUGAUCUUUGAUAUUGGGUACUGUUUCAACAUUUGAGGCUAAAUGAAGCACCGUGUACUGAUGUGUAAUGUCGUGUAUCACAAUCUCAGGAUAACACUAGAUAGCCAAGAAUGGCAGUACCUGUUUUGUCUGUCUACACGAAUUGGACCUCAUUGUUUCUGCCACAAUGUACUGCUCCAUAAAUUCCGCCUUAUUUCCAUGGUAUUGUCUGUAAGUUUUGAAAUCUAACUGGUCAUGAAAAGCCAUUUUUCAGGCAGUAUUUAAAAGCUUUUUCCCACAAGUAGAACUGGUAUCUAAAACAUUUUUUCAUUCAAGUUUGGUAAGGUGGGAGAUUUGAAAUAAGGUACAACAGUGGUUUUGGAAAUCAGCUAUCAAGUUUUAGUUUUAGGGGCCACCACGUGACAGAAAUGAUUUAUAGAGAGAGUAAAAAUUGUAUUCCAUUUCUCUUGGUAUUUUAGUGCAUAUAAAAACUAAAUAAACCACUUUCAUAUAUCAUUAAAAA
rnacentral:lncRNA from 10 species